UGGGGAAUUUUGGACAAUGGGCGAAAGCCUGAUCCAGCAAUGCCGCGUGUGUGAAGAAGGCCUUCGGGUUGUAAAGCACUUUUGUCCGGAAAGAAAUCCUUGGCUCUAAUACAGUCGGGGGAUGACGGUACCGGAAGAAUAAGCACCGGCUAACUACGUGCCAGCAGCCGCGGUAAUACGUAGGGUGCAAGCGUUAAUCGGAAUUACUGGGCGUAAAGCGUGCGCAGGCGGUUUGCUAAGACCGAUGUGAAAUCCCCGGGCUCAACCUGGGAACUGCAUUGGUGACUGGCAGGCUAGAGUAUGGCAGAGGGGGGUAGAAUUCCACGUGUAGCAGUGAAAUGCGUAGAGAUGUGGAGGAAUACCGAUGGCGAAGGCAGCCCCCUGGGCCAAUACUGACGCUCAUGCACGAAAGCGUGGGGAGCAAACAGGGUUAGAUACCCUGGUAGUCCACGCCCUAAACGAUGUCAACUAGUUGUUGGGGAUUCAUUUCCUUAGUAACGUAGCUAACGCGUGAAGUUGACCGCCUGGGGAGUACGGUCGCAAGAUUAAAACUCAAAGGAAUUGACGGGGUCAUAGCUGUUUCCU
rnacentral:rRNA from 1 species